AUAGUGCAGUUCUAUUCUGGGAAAAGUGGGCGGGGAGCAGCUGCUCGUUUGCAUUUAAAGAGACAGGCACGAAAAACAGCGUGUUUCUGCUUCCACUUAAAAUGGGCAUUU